GCGCUUAUGGUGGAGGGGUUAACAUACUUCUUUCGGGAAAUUACGUAAUGCGAAAUUAGAAGUGGUCCCCGGUUCGAAUCCGGGUGAGCGCC
rnacentral:tRNA from 1 species